rnacentral:misc_RNA from 1 species
AAAAAAGAAAAUGAAUUUGAUAUUUGUGACUUCAAUGUCCCAACUUUUCUUCUUUCUCCAUUUAAUUAGAAAAUUUCCAUAUUAUUUUAGAUUUUAUUUUGUCAAGAAUAAAUUUUCUGUUCCUAUUAGGUUUGGGUUUCUGUUAAGUUCCUAAGACAAGGAUCGUGUCACAAGUCGAUGGACAAAGAAAUCUUCCCCUUCA